AAGAGUAUUUUGCUGUAUGCUGAUAUUGUUUUUACUAUUCUUUAAAACAAUCCAUUUUGUAAGUCCUCACAGUACUCAACUUUUUCAGUGAAAUGAGCUGAAAACUGGUUUCUGACAGGCAGUCAUGAGAGGCUUCAGUCCUUCAGUGUUACUCCUACCUCACUCUGAAUUCUCAUCAAGUCUGUUUCUCAACAUUUCAAAUAGAUAAAAUAAAGUAAAAGACCAAAGUGACAAAUUUUAACAUGGAGGGAAACAGACAGACAUAAGACAUCAUUAUCAGGAGAGAGAUGCGACAGCUGUGAGGAUGUCAGGGGGUGUUGCAUGUCUGUGGGUGGGUGUGUGUUUGUGUGCAGGGUUACAGUGGGGCUGUGGGCAGCAUUGUGAAAAGGACGAUUGGUGUUAAAUUGGGGUGAAAAGCGGCUUAGGUAGAGAUAGAGGGACUGCAUGAGAGAGAGAGAAAGCAAGGGAGAGAUGGUCACCCUUCACUCCACACAUGGAUUAGAGGCUAUAGAGACACUGACAGGCUCAAAACCUGGCUUACACUGUUAAAACCCUGCAGGCAGACACACACACACACUCACAUACACGUGCAGACCUGCACUUGGUAUGUGUCAGUGUACCAGCUACAAUAACUCAGCAGUGGGACACACUGCCUCUCUGUUUGGCUGUCAACACUCACCAGUUUUGCUCAGAUUUAUCAGCCGGAUUUUAGGGCAUUGACAGUCUGGGCCUACUGUGAGCCUAUUCAGAUGGGCCUCAUUCUUUGCAGCAGAAUUUUACAGGGAACUUUCCCCCUUUUAUUGUUCACUGCAGCUGUGUAUGCAUACAUGCAUACACACACUGUUGUCAUUCUUCUGAAUAAUAAAGCAGUUGGUAACCAAACAAACAGGUGUUUUGAUUUAGGACUCUGCUGCACUGUCGACUGAUCCAGAAACUUACUGACAGGCCCAGCUAAACUUAUUUCUGGUGAGCAUCUUUAAAACUGUAGCACAAAGUCCCUGAAAGUGUGCUGAAAUGACCCUGUGGGUGAGCUAUAUAGGUGAAGAGAACAGGAAGCUCAGGUCAUUAUCCAGGUAAAAGCCUCUGAACACUGCCUGAUGUUUUCCAGGUUCAUGUCUGAAAACAGCUCACAGGACGUUAGUGUUUGCCAGGUCACCAGUCUGAGGAGUGGAUCUGUCUCAAUCAGAAACAUUAACUUCAUUGCACCUCCACUGUGCCAUGCAGUGGUUCCUGAAGCCAAUCUUAUGAUUCAUUUCAGAGUGAGAGGAUUUUGAGUCAUGUCUUACUUUUUCCAAACAAGAAGGGAGGAGGGAGUGAGGUAAGGACACAUGACUUCAGUUUAAUUAACACUGCCAUUGUUUGAAUAAAGGAGAAAAAUCUACGUUGUAUUACAGGAUAAUGUGUCUGUGAUGUUUAUCUCCUUAGCUAACCCCGGGUCCUUUGUAAUGAAAUUGUUAUUGAUGGUGAUUAAUAGGAUGGAUUUCAGAAGCAGCUGGUCAGACAGAUUGUGUGAAUAGCUCAGUAAAGCCCUCUUUGUAUACAUGAACUUCAUCCUAGUUGAGAAAUCCUUUGUCUGGACUUCUUGUUUUCCAUGAUUAUUUAAUAAAAUAAAUGUAUUUUGUUUUCUUAAUGUCAUGACUCAAAUGAACCCUCCUUGUACAGAGUACAGACUUUGUUUCUCUUGCUUCAUUUGGAGCUCUUGUUAAAAAUUCUCAGCCAGGCUCGGUUUCAUGAGACACAGACAAUGGCUAUAUUAUUGAUGAUGGCUUCAUCUUCAUACCACACUCAAAGACCUCCAGCUGAGUGACAUGAUGUUGUAAGACGUCUGCUUGUCGUGCAAUGGACGAGGAAGGAUGAGGAAGACAAGAGUUUUGUAGCAAGGAUAUAUUAUAACAAUGGCGAGCUCUUUUUGUAUUAUCUUUAAAACAGCUGAACGCAGUUUUCAUUUUCCGUUGCGUUGGCAGCCACUAUGGACAAAAGCGGUUGUGUUUUGCUGGAAUGAUGACUGCAUUUCCCACAUUUAUUGUCUUGAAAACACUUACAAGGUCUUGAUCUGGCGUGUAGUUGUUUUGGAGGUGAAUGACACAAGAUGGGACUGACCGGUACUUUGAAUUAUUAUUAUUUUUUUUUGGCAAUCUGCAGGAUGCGUAAUGAUGAGGUAAUGUAUAAAUUUGCAUGUCUAUGAAAUAUAAUAUGCCUUUGGUGCAACAGAGUAAUGUGGUAAUAUUGUGAAUUGUAUUUUUUUAGCCUACAGGUAUGUCCCGUUCAUAAUAGUAAACCUACAACAAAGAGAUUAGAUAACUCGGCUGUAGAUUAGUACAUAAAGCUUAAGUUGUCAGCGUACCUUGGUAAUGUUAAAUCUUCAAAACAAUUAACUAGCAGUGUAAAAAAGCACAGCUUACAUUACCUGUCUAGGAGGAAUAUGGAAAAUUCACGAUCUGACUUAAAUCCCGUCAAGCCCUGCAACUCUCUUCACCUCGCGAAGGAAUUACCAAUGUUGCUUUUUAUUUUUCUUCUGUUCUAGUUCGUUUUUCUUUUUGUGGACUUCGUCUCAUCAUCAACCAUGUGUAGCAAUUUGUUUUUGCUCUGUUGUCACUGGCCAGCUUACCAACAACUCACUGCUUUUCUCGUGUCCCUGUCUAAGUGCUGUAACCUCCGGCCUGCAUGCCGUAAAUCGUUCUGUCAGUGGGCGACCCGACCGAUGAAUUUUGAAAGUGGGAGUUACACUAUUCAGAAAUACCUUAUCUUCCCUCUGAUGGGCUCAUUUGCUGUUGUAGGUGACACAGAUAUAUCAGGAGACGCGAGAUACUUAUUAAAAGUUCUUAAAAGUUCCCUACAGAAACUUUAAUCUGACCCUGAGGUCAUUGAUCAUGUAUUUGUUUGAUUUCAUGUGUGUCUCUGACCUUUACUCUCAUUGUCAGUCCGCUCAGUUUCUAUUCGACCCCUCAAAGAUGCUGAGACUAAGACUAAGCCAUACUUUCCCAUUAGCAUCAGUGUUAAAUGUUGAUAGUGUCCCUGCCUGUUCUCUUUAACACGUUUCCUGCUGUUGGCUGUCUCUGCUCUGAACAAACUUUAGCUGAUUUUUUUUUGCUCUGUAAAAUUUAACGGUGUAUGAUUUGCUGUAAUUAUUUGCCUUUUAGACUUGUUUUUCUUGUCCAACAGAGUUGAAAUGAGACAACACUCUAAGAAACUCUACCCUCUCAUUGCACCUCUAUAUUUACUCAGGAAUGAUAAUUGGUUCUUCAAAAAACACAAUCUCCUCUCUUAGAAAUAUUUAGGUCACCCUUUCAAAGUAGUCCUGUUACCACAGCAGUCUUAAAGAGGCUUUUACCCCACCACUCUAUAACACGCUGCUCUGCUUUUUACUCUUUUUUUUCUGGUUCUUCAGAGCUGCCUGCUUACAGGACUGCCCCACCACAUAGUAACCUUGUCUCUCUGAUGCAAAGAAUCAUAAUAAUGUCUUAUUAGUGAAUUACUGUACCGAGGUAACUAAUCACUGCCAGGCGAGGCCAGCCAGCUAAGAACUCCCUGGCAACAGAAAGCCAAAAUAGCUCCAUGAGCUUCUCAAGCAUAAACUAUACAGCGGCGUCCACAUCAGCCGGAGUUCCCUUUAAGACUGUACUGAUUUGAAUCAACACAGACAAAGAGUUCUGAGCUAACAAUAGAUGUACUUGUUUACUUGUUCAACUCUAACAAUGUUUUAGGCUCAAACGUCUCAGUUCUAGCGAUGAAUGAAAAACUGAGAUCAGUUGAGUGUAGUUUUGAGCAGAUGAAGGCCCAGUCAGGAAAACCUCAGCAGAGUAGAUAUUAAGACUGCGCCCUCUGACAUUUUAAUGGAGUGCACAGGGAGAAAUAAUUUGGUUGAACCAUAUUGUUGUUCAUUAUUGAGGCCUUCUCUGUGAAACACACACACACAAUGACCUGCAGGUGUGUGUUCAAGCGUCCUUUGUGGAGGUGUGUGUGUCUGUGAGACAUGAUGGAUAGAUGUCAUUGGCAGGUCUCUUUCUCAUCCUCAGUCUGUGUUUACUGUGUUCGUGUGUAUGUGUGUGUGCGUGCGUGUGUGUGUGUGGCUGUGGUGAUAAAUAGGUGUGAGUGCAGAGGUCUUAGUGUAUUUGUACAGACUCCAUUAAACACCUGUUCACUGGCCUAAUGUGAAUGGCCCUGUGUCCUCAGACUGCUGCUGGCAGACAGCUUGUGCUCCACAACCACACAGAGAAAAGGAGCUGUUUGCGAAGAAAAAGUUCCCUUUAAUGCAGAAUCAGAGACUUGCUGUAGUUUCGGUUUGGUCUUCAGCACAUUAAUGUGAAAUUACAUGAUAAAUGGAUUUUUAUUAUUUAAUUAAACAGACUGGAAUCAUUAACUGUUAUUAGAGUGCAUUCAUAUUAUAUGUCAGCUGCCCAGCUGCUUCUUCUCUUAGCUCAAACUAGGCCUGUACAGUACAUCAGUUAUCAGUCUAUUAUUUAUUAUUAUGACGAUGCCAUGUCAUUCAGUUAAAAAAAAACUGAGAAUAACUUUGCUCUUUUACAUAAUAACAAGCCUUAACACUCCAACGAUAAGAAGGAGGUGGUGCACUGCACAGAUAACCACAGACAAGGAGAACCACACCACAGCACAGUGAUUGUGUCUUUGUUUCAGAGAAGGCAAGAAGGAGAAAGCCUGCAAAGUUUAGCACAACCAAAGUAAAGUCAUCAGCGAGUAAUAUUGGUCCAUCUUAUGGUCUCGCUAGUAGGACAGCUCUGUACCUUUAAAAAAAUAAAAAUAAUUGCUUUUUUUUUACUUUUGUUUUGUUGAGAUUUUGUUUCAUUCCUGGUUUCUUUCUACAAAUGUAUGCUUCUUAACUUCCAAGUCGAAGCCCAGAGUGUGAGCUGUGGAGCAUGUGCAGAUUUUAUUCGCCAGUUUUAGUCCAACUGAGGUGUAUUCGUCUGUCAUCACCUCCGGUAUCAGGGUACAUUAACUAGCAUCUUUAUAUGUCUUUGACAGCCAGGCUAAUGCAAUACAUGACUUUUGUAGUGUUGUGUAAACAUGUUGAAUGUUUAAAUCAGUAGAGGUGAGACGCUGUGAACAUGGCUUGACCCAAGUGUGGGAAGAACUUCCUGCUUUACAAAAGUAAAAAAGAAAAAAAAAAAAGGCGUAGAAUGCAAGCUUUGCAACAGCGAUUCAAACAGCCUGAAAGCA